rnacentral:lncRNA from 1 species
ACAAAGGGCACAGUGACUUACGCUACAACUAUAACAUGUAUAGAAGCAACGUGCCGCAGUAUCCGGAUGUCUCGACUGGCUCACGUGUGCCAGAUGUCCACAAUCACAGUUAGGAAUAGGUUCCUCGGGAGGCACGGGGGCAUCCUUGCAAGACACAUCGGGGUACAACUCUCUAGGACGACCCUUUUUUCGCCAAAUCGACUCAUGAUACGAGUCCUCCAUCAAAAAACGCGAAAAUAAUUCAACACAAAUCACAUAACUAAACAAAGUAAUGUAACAAGAAAUUUACUAAACAUAUUAAAAAUAAACAAAAAAACUUAUCUAAACUAUGAAAACGUAAAGGUUGUAAGAAAUUUACCUUCUCCAAACGAGGGGUGGCCGGGAAAACAACCGCGAAGAACGACGAGGCGGGGAAUACGCAGCGGAGAGGGGCGCCGAGGCGGGGCAAUGGGGGUGAAGGACGACGCAGAGGGGCACCGGAGAAGAGCGGAGCUCGGGUGUGAGAGAGGGAGAGAAAGAGAGACCCUCGAGGUG